AUGAUGUGCUUCUUUACAGAAAAUCAUUCUGCACCUCCUGACGUAACCACGUACACCUCAGAGCACUCCAUACAGAUGGAGCGACCACAGGGUUCCACGGGGUCCCGGACAGUGCCCGAGUAUGGCAACGCCGAGCUCAUGGAGACCAGCGGUGUGGUUUUGUCUGCAUUCUUGGAGUGGAUGCACCCCCUUCCAGACGUUUGCGAAACUGGAAGAGCAGACCGUGCAGUGAGCAGGAGCUGGGAGGACAGAGAGAGCCGGUGUGUGCAGGACCUGCAAAGAGAGGUCAGGAGAGGAGCUGCCUUCGUAGUUUUCGGGCCCACGGAUGACAGUAACCAGCCCCCAGGCCGGGGCGUCCUCUCCAUGCAUGGGCUGACCUAUGGAGUCAUUCGUUUGGACUCCGAAGAGAAGCUCUCCGUGCUCACCAUGCAGGAUGUCGGCCUCGUGAUGCCUGGAGAGUUUGUACUCUCUCCCGGGGUUCCAGGCCUGUGGAUUCAACCAACCAUAGAUCAAGAACGUUUUUAAUGUGUUUGUACUAAGCAUUCAGAUUUUAUUAUUCAUUAAACAACUACUUGCAUGGCAUCUCCAUGGUACAGCUGUUACGAGCAACCCUGACAUGACUGUCUGCAGGAGGAUGUGCGCAUGCCAUAUGCAAACAUGAUGCCAUUUUAUAGCAGGGAUCUGAGCACCCACAGACCUUGGAUUCCAUAGGCAGUCCUGCAGCCCACCCUCAUGGGCACUGGGAAUGGCUAUAAUAGAAAAUAUGGAGGUUUUAAAUAGUUAUGUACUAAAUCUAAUCUUUUGUUAAGAAAUUACUGUGUAUCACUUGUAUUAUUUGGAAGUCCUUCCUGGCCCAGAGACUUGACAUGUUCUUAUCUUUUUGUCCACUGAUCUAGUCAUUCCAGUAAGUUUAUUGAACACAAAUCAAUUUUACAAUUAAAUUCUUACAGGAAUCACGCUCAAUCUGUAAGCUGCUUUGGUUUUUAAAGUGAAAUAACCAAUAGUUUUGCAAACCAGCUAUAUCAUAGAAUAACAGGAAAAUGCAGCCCCAUGACAUGCAAAAACAUGGGGUUUCAAAGCUAACCAGUAUAAAACACGUUACAAACCUCCAAAUAUGAAAACGUUUAUUCCAGAAGAAAACAAGAUGUUCAAAAAAGGCCUUUGCAGAAAAGCACUUUCCCCUUCAUUUUUCACAUGAUUUCCAGAAGCUUGUGUUUGGCGAUGACCAUGAACCAGAAGUAGCAUCCGCUGCAACUACUGCCACCGCAACACAGAAUAUUAAGGCAAAAAAAAAAAAAAAAAAAAAAGACACAGCAUAUUUCCUAUUGAUGAGAACAGGUAAAGUGUUAUAAAAUGAGUGUGUUCUAAAGUCAACAAUGUUCAAAUUCUAGGUCUCCUGCAGACACUAUACGGUAACCUCCAAAGCUUAUGUACUUGGUAACGUUCAAGGAGACCAAGUUCAGAGCUGUCACAAUGCAGCAGUAUCCUCACGCGAUUAUCUCAGGCGGGUUUGAGGGCAAGUGCCCCCGUCACAGCGGGAAAGCUGCCCAGCCCAGCACUUCCUGAGAUCACAGACCUUCGCCCUCCCAUGUCUUCAAUAGUUCCUUUACACUGGGAACCAGAGAGGAAAACCUAAAACACUUCCUCAAAUCUCAGGACAGUCUUUACAGCUUUGUUCCUUGCCCCUUUUCUUACUGAAAAAGCCUAUCUUGUAAGCAAUCUGUAGUGCUUACCAGAGCUGGGGAGGAAGGAGAGCUAGUGUUUGGUAGACCGAGUUUCAAGCGUGGAGAGACCAAGAAGUUCUGGAGAUGGAUGGCCGUGAUCGCGGCACCACAGUGUGAACACACUUAAUGCCACCAAACCAUACAAUUAAAAAUAGAGUGCUAUGUAAUUUUACCACAAUCAAAAGACUAACUGAGAACACUCAUCUAUAAUUACUGUCAUUUCCAACAUCUUGCAUCCUGUAAGUUGUAUUUGCUUUUGGAAAAUUUCCGAGCAAUCAUGAAAGACUAAUACCAUGUCAUCUCUGAAACUCAAAGUCGUUCAAGGUUUUUGAUGAUAGGAAAGUAGCUGGAAAGCAAAGUAUCCGUUAGACACGGCAGCCGUGGUAACACAAACACAUGGUAGGAAGGUGGUGGUCAUGCUACAGAUGGGAAGGCUGUGGGGAGCCACAACACCUGAUGCUCGGGAGGCACCUGGGCAGGAGCUGAGAAUGUACCAAACACGUUCGAUCACACAACAUUCACGGACCGUGAGUCCAGCCACUGCUGCUGACAUCCACUGUGGCCGGGGUGUCCUCUGCCACAGAGAUACACACCCUGCCGAGGAUAGUGUACAGAUUAAAUGUCAAAGCACAGACAUGCUCAGGUCCAGCUGUUCAGAGAGAAGCAAACACAUUUCCCCAGACCCCAGCAGCAUCACUCUCCACCUAACUGCACCCCGGUCCCAUUUAUUCUCGAACCCAUCUCUCCCGGACCCGACAGCAUGACUCUCCACCUGACUACACCCCGUCCCGUGCAUCCCCGCACCUGUGUCUCGGCCCUCACUCACUCUCUCACUUCCUCGUUGGGUCAGGGACCAACAAUCCACUGUGUGCCUGGUGCACUGAGCCUCGUCAGGGGCCUCUGGGCCGCAUGCCGGGACACGCAACUGGGAACUCCCAGUGCACACGUUGGUCUCCUGCAAGACGCUUGGCUCUUAUCUGCGGGAGCCGGCACCCACCCCUACAACUGACUGCACGCUUAGAAAAGUCACAGAAAGCCCCUCACCAACCCAGCAGCACCGAGGCCACAUCCCACUUGCCUGCUGGAUCCUGAGCCUCCUACUCUGUGAUGGCUCGCUCCUUCGGUUCCCUGCCUUGAAUCCACUGGUUCCUCUCCACACGGGCCUCUUUCCUGUCACCUUCCUGUCGGCAAGCACAUGUGUCCAGCCUGAUCUUGCUGAUGUGCUCCAGCUGGCCCUGGACUCGAACCGCACUGCUGCGACUUUCCAUCAGUGUGGCAUCUGCGAGUUACCUCCUGGGAAAUGCCAGGUGAUGGUAACAUCAACUAGGAGGCACCGCUGAGAAACAGAACGCAUAGGUGCGGUGCCCAGAACGUCACGUCCUUGAACAGACGGCUCCGUAUUUUCUCUCCUGGCAGAACUUCGCUGUAGGAAGGCGGCCAUUCCUCCAGUGCUGCUACUUCCAACACCGGGGGAAGCAAGCUUCAGAAAUGAACGGUGUCAAAGAGGCAGGACCCACCAGCAGGGCUGCCAGUGGCCGGAUGACCGCAGCCCCAGCAUUCCCCAGCAUUUCCCAGCCACCAUGGCUGACAGCCCAGGCUCCAGAAAUGCACAGCUUCAACCUUAGGAAUAAAAACCCUCCCAAGCCAACUAUUAUUUUCAACAAUGGGAUUGGGGAGUGGGGUGUUCUAACCCUGCCUCUCUCGACAGCACAGAUCAUCAGAUCCCAGUUCUUAUAGCAUUGGGGAGUGGGUGGGGGCGUUCUAACCCUGCCUCCCCCUUCAUAGAAAAGAACUAGGGUCUGAUGAUCUGUGCUAGGUCAGCACUUUGCUUCCACCACAUACAAUCCUCAUCAGCACCAGGAAAAGUCAGAAGCGUUGAGUGAUGACACCAAUACCAACACGUGCGGUUCUGGCAGUUCCGGUAACUGGCUGCACAGAUACAACCCGACAGUGGUGAGAUCCACGGACAUCACCAGUUUUCCCAAGGAUUGUGUUCCUGAAUCUUCUGCGUUCGGAAUAACGGUCUUCUUUGCCAGAGCUGAGCCAUGCUUCCCUCUCGCCUGUCCUCUGCCUUCACCAGCUUCGUGCGCGUUUCCAGGCAAGUGUUUGUGCAGGUGCUAUCACUUAUUUCCACAGCAAAAAUAUACACAGACACCACACAGAAAUGGGCAACCCCGUUAGGAGCUGUGCAGGGAGAUCUCACUCAUCAGAUGUGCCAAAUUUCUGUUGCCAUAGAAAUUUAACUAAACUAACGUUGCUAUGACCUCAUCUCUUACUGUGCCACUAAAGAUCAUCCGGUAAGAGAGUGUGCCUCUGCAUUAGCAUGUAGCUCACGUUUACAUGUCGGUUUUCCCUGAAUAUGGUAUGAGAGAUAGAAAUCAGUAAGAUGGGGUGUAACUCUAGUGUAGGAUCGUUGUGUCUCCUAGGCUCACACACUUCCUUUAAGAAUCUCCAGAAUAUGAAGUUUAACUCUGUCGACGUGAGUUACAUAUAACUUGUUUUGGAUACUGUCCCUCUUUUCACCAUCUAAAAUAUCAACACCGAAAAGAAUGUUCUUGAGUUCCUUUUUAAAUUGAAAGGAAUUUACAAACCAUAAAAGCCCCAAUAUUAAAGGAUACAAUUCAGUCUUUUUAGCGUAUUCUCAAAGCUGCACAUCAACCACUAGUAUGUAAUUCCGGGACUUUUUCACCACGGACCAAAGAAACCUUUAACCCAUCAAGAGUCAGCAACUGCUCCUUCCUUCCGCCAGCCCCUGGCAAUCGCCAGCCAACUUCUAUUUCUCUGGAUUUGCCCAUUCUGGACACCUGUUGUGAGGAGAAUCGUACAGUGCGUGACCUUUGGCGCUGGCAUCUUUCACAUCCAAGGUGAGUGGAAUCUCACAAUGAGUGACCUGUUGACACCUGGACUGUUUCUACUACUACGAAUGCUGCUGCUAUGAAGAUUCUUGCAUAAGAUUUUUUUUGUAAAAAUAUUUUCAGUUUUCUUGGGCAUAUGACUAGGAGUGAAAUUGCUGGGUCGUACGGUGAUUUCAUAUUUAACUUUUCUG
rnacentral:lncRNA from 1 species